rnacentral:rRNA from 1 species
UACGAAGGGGGCUAGCGUUGUUCGGAUUUACUGGGCGUAAAGCGCAUGUAGGCGGGUCGUUAAGUUGGGGGUGAAAUCCCGAGGCUCAACCUCGGAACUGCCUUCAAAACUGGCGACCUGGAGCGUGAUAGAGGCGAGUGGAAUUCCGAGUGUAGAGGUGAAAUUCGUAGAUAUUGGGAAGAACACCAGUGGCGAAGGCGGCUAACUGGUCCGGAUCUGACGCUGAGGUGCGAAAGCUAGGGGAGCAAACGGG